rnacentral:rRNA from 1 species
AGAGUUUGAUUCUGGCUCAGGAUGAACGCUGGCGGCGUGCUUAAUACAUGCAAGUCGAACGAAGAGCCUUGUAGCAAUACGGAGGUUCUUAGUGGCGAACGGGUGCGUAACGCAUUGGUGACCUGCCCUGAAAUGUGGGAUAACAGUUCGAAAGGACUGCUAAUACCGCAUGUGAUCAUCGGGUUUAGAAGCUGAUGAUUAAAGGAGUAAUCCGCUUUAGGAGGGACCUGCGUCCCAUCAGCUAGUUGGUGAGGUAACGGCCCACCAAGGCUACGACGGUAGGGGACCUGAGAGGGUGGUCCCCCACACUGGCACUGAAACACGGGCCAGACACCUACGGGUGGCAGCAGUAGGGAAUAUUGGGCAAUGGGCGAAAGCCUGACCCAGCAACGCCGCCGUGCACGAUGAAGGUCUUCGGAUCGUAAAGUGCUUUUCUGAGAGAUGAGAAAGGACAGUAUCUCAGGAAUAAGUCUCGGCUAACUACGUGCCAGCAGCGGC